GAUGAAGAACGUAGCGAAAUGCGAUACGUAGUGUGAAUUGCAGAAUUCAGUGAAUCAUCGAGUCUUUGAACGCACAUUGCACCUCUCGGUAUUCCGGGAGGUAUGCCUGUUCGAGCGUCAUUUGUACCCUCAAGCUCUGCUUGGUGUUGGGUGUUUGUUCCGCCUCUGUGUGUGAACUCGCCUCAAAACAAUUGGCAGCCGGCGUACUUGUUUCGGAGCGCAGCACAUUUUGCGAUCCAGAUCAACGUACAGCGGCAUCCAAGAAGCCUUAUUUAACGCUCUUGACCUCGGAUCAGGUAGGGAUACCCGCUGAACUUAAGCAUAUCAAUAAGCGGAGGA
rnacentral:misc_RNA from 1 species